rnacentral:rRNA from 1 species
GUGAACGCUGGCGGUAGGCCUAACACAUGCAAGUCGAACGGCAGCACAGUAAGCGCUUGCUCUUCCGGGUGGCGAGUGGCGGACGGGUGAGGAAUACAUCGGAAUCUACUUUUUCGUGGGGGAUAACGUAGGGAAACUUACGCUAAUACCGCAUACGACCUACGGGUGAAAGCAGGGGAUCUUCGGACCUUGCGCGAUUGAAUGAGCCGAUGUCGGAUUAGCUAGUUGGCCGGGUAAAGGCCCACCAAGGCGACGAUCCGUAGCUGGUCUGAGAGGAUGAUCAGCCACACUGGAACUGAGACACGGUCCAGACUCCUACGGGAGGCAGCAGUGGGGAAUAUUGGACAAUGGGCGCAAGCCUGAUCCAGCCAUACCGCGUGGGUGAAGAAGGCCUUCGGGUUGUAAAGCCCUUUUGUUGGGAAAGAAAAGCAGCAGGUUAAUACCCCGCUGUUCUGACGGUACCCAAAGAAUAAGCACCGGCUAACUUCGUG